ensembl:lncRNA
AGUCAGCUCUACAGCUAACAGUUACUACCCAUAGAGUCAGCUCUACAGCUAACAGUUACUACCCAUAGAGUCAGCUCUACAGCUAACAGUUACUACCCAUAGAGUCAGCUCUAAGGCUAACAGUUACUACCCAUAGAGUCAGCUCUACGGCUAACAGUUACUACCCAUAGAGUCAGCUCUACAGCUAACAGUUACUACCCAUAGAGUCAGCUCUACAGCUAACAGUUACUACCCAUAGAGUCAGCUCUACAGCUAACAGUUACUACCCAUAGAGUCAGCUCUACAGCUAACAGUUACUACCCAUAGAGUCAGCUCUAAUGCUAACAUUACUACCCAUAGAGUCAGCUCUAAGGCUAACAGUUACUACCCAUAGAGUCAGCUCUACAGCUAACAGUUACUACCCAUAGAGUCAGCUCUACAGCUAACAGUUACUACCCAUAGAGUC